rnacentral:rRNA from 1 species
AGUGAACGCUGGCGGCGUGCUUAACACAUGCAAGUCGAACGAGAACGGAAUAUAGCUUGCUAUAUUUUUCAGCUAAGUGGCGCACGGGUGAGUAAUGUAUAGAUAACCUGCCCUUAAGAAAGGAAUAACAGUUGGAAACGACUGCUAAUGCCCUAUAUGCCUUUAAUACAUAAGUAUGCAAGGGAAACGCUUUAGUGCUUAAGGAUGGGUCUGUAUGGUAUCAGCUUGUUGGUGAGGUAAUGGCUCACCAAUGCUAUGACGCCUAACUGGUUUGAGAGGAUGAUCGGACACACUGGAACUGAGACACGGUCCAGAAUCCGACGGGAGGCAGCAGUGGGGAAUAUUGCACAAUGGACGAAAGUCUGAUGCAGCAACGCCGCGUGGAGGAUGACACAUUUCGGUGCGUAAACUCCUUUUAUAUAGGAAGAUAAUGACGGUACUAUAUGAAUAAGCACCGGCUAACUCCGUGCCAGCCGCCGCGGUAA